GACGAACGCUUGCGGCGUGCCUAAGAAAUGCAAGUCGAGCGAACUGAGGGCUUCGGCCCGAUGUUAAGCGGCGAACGGUCGCGUAACACGUAGGUAACCUGCCUUUAAGACCGGGAUAACACUCCGAAAGGGGUGCUAAUACCGGAUGUGGCCACCGGGGGGCAUCCCCUGGUGAUUAAAUCCCGUAAGGGGCUUAAAGAGGGGCCUGCGGCCUAUCAGCUAGAUGGUAAGGUAACGGCUUACCAUGGCGACGACGGGUAGCUGGUCUGAGAGGAUG
rnacentral:rRNA from 1 species